UACCGAGGGUGCAAGCGUUGUUCGGAAUUACUGGGCGUAAAGCGCGUGUAGGUGGCGAUGUAAGUCGGGUGUGAAAUCCCUCAGCUUAACUGAGGAAGUGCACUCGAUACUGUGUCGCUUGAGUGUUGGAGGGGAUGGCGGAAUUCCCGGUGUAGAGGUGAAAUGCGCAGAUAUCAGGAGGAACACCGGUGGCGAAGGCGGAUCUCUGGGCCAUUACUGACGCUGAGGAGCGAAAGCGUGGGGAGCGAACAGG
rnacentral:rRNA from 1 species